GGUAACCCAACAUCCGUCUGCCCCCAAACUACAGACCUUAGUGAAGUCAUAAUGGACCUUCUCCUCUGUUAAACUUAACCUUUGAGGAUUGCCACAUUGUUACAGAACAGGUGCUCGACUCAGCGCCAUGCUGACUUUCAGCCAGGACUGCUUACUCUUUCAUUCACUCUCAGAUUGAUUUAUAGGCACAAGACAGGAUUUCUUUCCAGAUCUGUGUCUCCACAUCGGUAGCACUGGAUGACAUUGGAGCUGCCUCGGGGAUUGUAAGGAUUCUGCUGAUAAGGAACUGUAGAAAGAAACAAAGAGAUCACCAUCCAGAAGGCCCUUGCUCUUUAGAAACUCUGCUAGAAGACACUGUCCUAAUCCUAACUGGGAGAAAAAGCAGAAAGGGAAGUAAUUAGCUGAGUACCUUCAAUACAUCAUCAGGGCUGCACCUGCCAAGCUCGGGCAUCAUGAGAAGGGAGACCGCGAGGGCUGCUUUCCCGUAGCGCAGAAGGGCUACGCGUGUGCCCCCUCAUGGCGUCAUUACACCUGUGUUCAUCGCGUGACUCCCUGGGGCCGGUCAGAGCGGAAGAGGACUGGGAGAUGCGGAAACUGAGGCCCGAAGAGCUGAGGUCACUCGCCCAAGGCCACACCGUUAGUAUGGCAGCAGGGCCUGAACCUAGGUAGUUCUCACCACGAUGCUUUACUGCCUGCCAUGCACCAGUGCCAACACGGCUCCCUCUGGGGAGGGAGUGAGCUUGGGGGAGGCUACAAAGGGCAUCUAAUUACUCCCCAGACAGUAAUCAUCCAUCCCUUGUCUAGCCGAUUUCCAAUGUGCACAUAAAUUUCACACAGAUUUAAGAAUAACGUUUGGAGGGUACAGCCCAGGAAACUGGGCACGGUAACGCAGCAUCUGUGGCCAAGGAUGAAGACUCCAUGAUGGUUGCCCCCUCCCCCCUCCCCCCCCCCCCCCAAAACGAGCGGAUGGCAGCCUUGAGCCACUUCCCCGGCACGAGAGGGGCAGCCCGACAGGUGUGGGUGUUGGGUCCCUCAGAGAGGCAGGCUCUGCAGGUGCUGGCAGCUGUCACAGAGCAGAGGCAGGGGCGCUCUGGGAAACCCCCAGUCCCUGCACAGAUGGCCCGGCCUGGCCCCACUUUCCCAUGUCAGCAGGUCGGUAACACGGUCUGUCACCCCAAGACGACAUUAUAAAAGCCUUGCUGCAACAGAAACUCUUCCUCAGCCUCUCUCUGCCAGGCUCGUCAGCGUGUUCCGUGGUCAUGGCGGGGAGCUGGCAACAUGGCCGCGCCACCUUCUUCAGAAGUAUGUUGUCAGGACAUGUGUCAGAACGGCACGCUCUUGGCCAGACAGGCUGCUCUUGCCUGACAGCCA